AUGUGACUAGAUGUCACCCACAGAAGUGAGAGGAAGUGAUUUGUUCCAUGUCGGAGUCAAGCUUCUUAGAAAUGGACGUGCUUCUUCCGGGAUCUCUUUCUCCUUCCACCAGCUAAAUGCAGAUAGCAACAACCACACAGUGGGGACACAGAGAAGUGAAGCCUGGGGCCCUGAAUGAUCACAUGGAAGAGACUCACCCUUCUGGUUUCAAUAUUUGACUUAUAGUGGUACUGUCCCACACUGCUGGCAACCCCAGAAGUGCCAUCAGUGACCCCGAACCCUGCUGAAGGCCUACACCUGCUGAAGAAGCUCAUGCCCAGUUUGAACCCACUCAUGACUGAGCCCAAGGACAGUCUUGUCUGUGCCAAGGGUCCUGGCGGCUGCGUUGAAGGACUGAAGGUGAGGCGGAUGCUGUCACCGUUGCUGGUGAUGUCGUUUGUUGUAGGUUGAAUUGUGUCUUCCAAAAGAUCUGCUGGAGUCGUAACCCCAGGUCCCUGUGAAUGUGACCUUAUUUGGAAAUGGGGUCUUUGCAAAUGUAACCAAGGUGUAAGUUAAGAUGAGGUCAUACUGGAGUAGGGUGGGCCUUUAAUCAAUGUGACUAGUGUCACUCUAAGAAGAGGUAAAGAGACACAGACAGGCACGCAGAGGGAACAUAACAUCUCCGCCUCAGACCGAGGCAGAGAUUGGAAAAAUGUGUCUCGAAGCUAAUGGAUUCCAAAGAUUAAACAACUGGAAGCCUGGGGGGAACAUGGAAACUGCCCAAAUACCAGUGCUGUCAGCUGCCACAUGGCCUGUGCCCCCUUGGUGCCUACCAGCAUUACAGGGAAAAGCUCAUUUUGCCUUUUUUGGUCUUCUGUGGCACUCCCCUUGCCUAGAAUCCAGGUACAAACCCAUGGGAGGUGGGCAAAGGUAAUGUCCUAUGAACUUGGAACACCUCCCCUCUGAGCUGCUCCUUUACUCUGCAGGCUACAUGGGGUUGUAGCUCCUCCUGGGAUGGGCUCUUUCUCCUAGCAGCCUUGACUGUGCACUAGGGUUAAUGUGGAAAAUCAUGAGUUGCAGUGGGCUUUUCGAUCGCAUAUUACUAAUUAGAAAUAAAUUUAUCCUCUUAAUAAGCAUAUAUCCAGAACAGCUAUUAACUCAUAGUGAAAGCUGAUGUUUGGGGAAAUCAGGAAUCAAAAUAUGCUAAAGAAAACACAAGAACUUCAAUUUAGCUCAGGGCCUAGUAUUCUCAGACCUGUAGCCCUCAUGCUGCUCAUCCUAGCCUCCAGCCUCAGCUUCCCAGGCAAGGGGGUCACGGGAACAUGCCGGCAGCAUUGCAUCUGGUGCCAGGCUUUCUGCAAGGAGCGUCCACACAUUUCUCUCCUGGCACCUGUGCACUUCACAUUGUGGUCUCAGCUUCCAUGAGGCCCAUGGAGGGCAAGGACAGGCCUCAGAUACAGGAAGACAGUGGACAGCAGGGGACUUUAAGACCAGUGGCUCUGAGCUUUUUUCUGUUCAUCUCAUAAAGAGGAACUUGGGCUGGACAUUUGGGGGUUCUCACUGGCAGCACAGCUUCUCAAGUCCACCUUGGAGGAUAAUCCCAGGUGGGAAUGGACAUGAGCAGGGAGGUAGACAUUUCAGCCUGGGGUGAGGUCAGGAGCUGGCCAAGUGGUCUGCAGAUGGGAGGUGGUAGUCUCAACUCAGGUAUUAUUUCCAAACCGUAUUGAUGAACCAUUAUCCCUUUAAAGACCCACAGCAAGUUUAAGGUAAAGCUAGCAGCCUCCUUAAGCAGCAAUGCUAUGACAUAUGAGAAGUCCCUUAGCAGCAGCCACACAGCAGCUCAAAGGGAAGCUCCUCGGUGGCUCACCUAGGAUAGAAAAUUCCACCCAGUGCUGGGUGCGGUGGCUUAUGCUUGUAAUCCCAGCACUUCGGGAGGCCGGGACGGGCAGAUCACUUGAGGUCAGGAAUUUGAAACCAGCUUGGCAAACAUGGUGAAACCCCGUUUCUACUUAAAAAAAAAAAUUAGCUGGGUUUGUUGGCGUACACCUGUGAUCCCAGUUACAGGCGAGGCAGAAGCAGGAGAAUUGCUUAAGCCUGGCAGGCAGAGGCUGCAGUGAGCCCCGAGAUCACGCCACUGCACUCCAGUCUGGGUGACACAGCAAGACUCUGGGAAAAAAGAAAGAAGGAAGGAAGGAAGGAAGGAAAGAAGGAAGGAAGG
rnacentral:lncRNA from 10 species